GACGAACGCUGGCGGCGUGCCUAAUACAUGCAAGUAGAACGCACAGUUUAUACCGUAGCUUGCUACACCAUAGACUGUGAGUUGCGAACGGGUGAGUAACGCGUAGGUAACCUGCCUGGUAGCGGGGGAUAACUAUUGGAAACGAUAGCUAAUACCGCAUAAUAUUAAUUAUUGCAUGAUAAUUACUUGAAAGGUGCAAUUGCACCACUACCAGAUGGACCUGCGUUGUAUUAGCUAGUAGGUGAGGUAACGGCUCACCUAGGCGACGAUACAUAGCCGACCUGAGAGGGUGAUCGGCCACACUGGGACUGAGACACGGCCCAGACUCCUACGGGAGGCAGCAGUAGGGAAUCUUCGGCAAUGGACGAAAGUCUGACCGAGAAACGCCGCGUGAGUGAAGAAGGGUGUCGGAUCGUAAAGCUCUGUUGUAAGAGAAGAACGGGUGUGAGAGUGGAAAGUUCACACUGUGACGGUAUCUUACCAGAAAGGGACGGCUAACUACGUG
rnacentral:rRNA from 1 species